rnacentral:rRNA from 1 species
UUCGCAACAUCCCCCCCGGUAAUCCGGAGGGUGCAAGCGUUACUCGGAAUCACUGGGCGUAAAGAGCGGCGUAGGCGGGAUAGUCAGUCCGGUGUGAAAUCCUAUGGCUUAACCAUAGAACUGCAUUUGAAGGGCUAUUUUAGAGUGUGGGACGAGGUAGGUGGAAUUCUUGGUGUAGGGGUAAGAUCCGUAGAGNUCCAGUGGGAUACUCNUUNCCAAGNCGACCUGCUGGAACUUUACCCACCCUCAUUGGGUGNAANCGNCNNUUCCCCCCUNUANUAUANNANGUUGUAAUCCCCGUCCUUGGGUAAAGCCNNNGGUUUUUCCCCGGGUUAGUCUUUCCCGCAAAGCGGCUUUUGCGGCCAGUUUUUNNNUUUGCAGUGUUAGGCGACAGGUAAACUUC